rnacentral:rRNA from 1 species
GGUUUGAAAUCGAUGGGAGAUUAAACCUCUCCAUGAGUAGCAAUUAGAGGACAAGUCUGGUGCCAGCACCCGCGGUAAUUCCAGCUCUAAAAGUGUAUAUUAAUACUGUUGUAAGUUAAAACGCCCGUAGUAUACCUAAGGGUUGUGAUCGUUGAUCUGACUAGUCAUGUCCGUCGUGGUUGACCAUGUAUUGUGGUCAAUUGGGUGGACAAUGAUUGGUCCACGGUCCCUAAACAGGAUGAAAGUUUUUACAAGUAGUCCUGUCCAAGGGAUAGGUCAAUGGUCAUGACUCGCUCUCUACCAGUCUUCGGACUGGUAGAGCCUUUUGGCACAACCGUAAACAAAUCAGAGUGCUCCAAGCAGGCAGUGUUUGGGGGUAACCCCGCUUUUGCUUGUAUGAUUUAGCAUGGAAUUGUCACGAAGCCGAACGGAAGCCUCGAGGGUUCGCCUGAGAGGUGGAAGUCCCGGCGCUCGUAACGAGACACAGGUAGAGGAUCCAAGUACUAUGGCGCGAGAGGUGAAAUUCAGUGACCGCCAUAUGACUAUCUAAUGCGAAGGCAGUUGUGAUCCAGAACGUGUCUGUCAAUCAGGGACGAAAGUUAAGGGAUCGAAGAUGAUUAGAUACCGUCGUAGUCUUAACCGUAAACGAUACCAACACGAGAUUGGUAGCGAAACCAUUAUUAGAUCCUAUCAGAAUCCAAGGGAAACCGUUAAGUCUUUGGGUUCUGGGGGGAGUAUGGUCGCAAGGCUGAAACUUAAAGGAAUUGACGGAAAGGCACCACCAGGAGUGGAGUAUGCGGCUUAAUUCGACUCAACGCGGGGAAACUCACCAAGUUAGGAUGUGAAUAUGAUUGACAGAUUAAGGUUCUUUCUUGAUUUUACAGAAGGUGGUGCAUGGUCGUUCUUAGUUCGUGGAGUGAUUCGUCUUGUUAAUUCAGUUAACGAGCGAGACCUUAACUUGCUAAUUAAGGUACAGGGAUAGUUUUCGGACUAUCUUUGUUUCGUCGGUAGGGUGUUAUGCCCUACCAUGAAACCUGUACAUAUCACCGGUUCGCUGGUGAUACUUCUUAGAGGUACAGCACUCGCUCCAUAGGGUGAGGAAGUUUAAGGCAAUAACAGAUCUGUGAUGCCCUUAGAUAUCUUGGGCUGCACGCGUACUACAAUAUUAAUAGCAACAAGUAACGUAAAUAUCAUCCAUAGGAUGAAGACCCUGGUCCGAAAGGAUUGGGAAAUCUUAUCAAAGAUUAAUGUGACAGGGAUCGAGGUUUGUAAAUCCUCGUGAACGAGGAAUUCCUAGUAAGCAUGAUUCAUCAUGUCGUAUUGGCUACGUCCCUGCCUUUUGUACACACCGCCCGUCGCUCGUACCGACUGAAUAGAGGUAUGAAUUUGAUGGACUAGCAGUAGGUAAACUACAGUGCGAGAAAAUCAACUGAAUUUCUCUAUUUGUAGGAACGAGAAGUCGUAACAAGGUCUUCGUAGGUGAACCUGCGGAGGGAUCAUUUAUAUAGCUGCACAAGCCAGGACAUUUGUUAAUGCCGUUGCAGCUACUGACAAACUAGUUUGUCAGCGAGAUCCAACAUCAAUAUCUUCCGUUGAUGCUAUGGGAUCUACUGGCUAGGAAGCAGUUACUGGUUGUACUUUGGUAUAUGGUUCUCCAGUAUAAAAAAGAGCGAAUAUCACAUGAAGGUUAUCUGUAAUCGGCUCUAGCAUCAUUGAUGGUAGAGGGAUAACCCGCCCUAUAAGGGUGCUGGUUGUAAUAGAAGCAACGCACUUUCCCUUCUGUUACUAUAACCACCGAUAGGAUGGAUGCUUUGCGAUGGAUGACUAGGGUCUUGUAUCGAUGAAGAACGCAGUUAACCGCGAUAGUUAAUGUGACUCGCAACUCCCGUGAAUCAUCGAGACUUGAACACAUACGGAACCCUUGCUUCUUUCGAGUAGCAA